rnacentral:rRNA from 1 species
GAUGAACGUUAGCGGGAGGCUUAAUACAUGCAAGUCGAGCGGUAAGUUUUUAUAGCAAUAUGAAGACCUAGAGCGGCGCACGGGUGAGUAACGCGUACACGACCUGGCCUAAACUGGGGGAUAGCCUUGGGAAACUGAGAGUAAUCCCGCAUGUGAUUAUGUUACUGAUGGUGAUAUAAUUAAAGCUUCGGCGGUUUAGGAUGGGUGUGCGUCUGAUUAGCUAGUUGGUAGUGUAACGGACUACCAAGGCGAUGAUCAGUAGGGGGCGUGAGAGCGUGACCCCCCACACGGGUAC